rnacentral:tRNA from 1 species
UUUUUAGUUUAAUAAACAUCUACUUUGGAUGUAGAAAUAAUCUAAUUUUAAUAAAAAU